AUUUUUUUCCCUUUUUCUUUUCUUUUCUUCUUUUCUUCUUUUCUUCUUCUUCCCCAUUUCUUUCCCCUCGCCAAAACCCUCUCUUCACUCGUAUCUCCCUCGCCGCCACAGAUCCCAGCCUUUCCCCCCUCCCGAUUGACAUAACGUUGUCUAGCCAGCCAUCCGGUCGUCGCCUCGGAUCUCGUCGGCCGAAGCCUUCCCCAGUGCGCCGCCUCAGACCUCGAGCCGAUCAGCCCAGCCGCGCAACCCACGCGUCCGUCCAGCCUCACAUCUUCAUGUCGCUUCGCCGUCAUCCUAGCCGCGUAGCCACACCACACCGCCGCUCUUCCAAAUCCGCCGCUAACUCGAGUGCUGUCGUCCGCCAGUGUAGUCGUCGAUGAGGGUCUGCCUCGUGGGUUUUCCCUUUUUCGAUCUCCCUUUCUCGCAUCUUCCACCAGUCGUGCGCCGCAUGACAGUGAGCUUCAGUCGCCCGCCUUUCUCUCUCUGACCUACGAAUCUAUAGUUUGCCGCCUUCGGUUGUGAGUCGCUGCUACCUAGGUUGUGCGACUUCACUCCAACACUGCCGUCUAGUAGGAUGUCGUUGCUGCUCGUCGGAUCUACUAGUUUGGGUGAGUUUUGUUAGGAAUUUGAGGAUUUGUUGUUCAAGUUUUGAACACCCAACCAACUAUGGGCCUAGUUACUGGAUUAAUUGUGAUUUUGGAUUUUAGAUAUAAAGUUUGGAGGGAUUUUAAAGUCUUUAGGGUGCUACCGACAAGAUUAUGAGUUCUGUCAAUCUUGGGUGGAUUCAAAGUCUUUCGAGAGUUGUAAGAAGGUUAAUUACUUGGAUUAAUUUGUGACCAAAUUUGAGGGAAAGGAUUCCAUACCAGUUGAAGACUAUCUUUGAACUUUAGAACCCCAACGCAAUGGAUCCCUCCAACAGAUCUACCAACACCCGGCAGGAACAUCGACUGCAGUAGCACGAUCAAUGUGAACACGAAUGCCGCAACAAGGACGAAACCACCACUAAUGAGCCCCGGGUAUUAUCGGAGUGAAAACCCAAAGGGUGGACUUUGGUGAAUUUGAUAAAGGACGGAGGACAAACGAGUCGUGUAGGCGAUAAGCAAGUGGGAGAGAAAACAGUGCUAUCGUAUAGCAGAAGUGCUUAUCGCAUAGAGGAGCUACACGAUCGUGUAUGAAAUGUUGAACGAUCAUUUAGAAAAAACGUAUACGAUCGUUUAGGCGGAGAAGCAACUAACGUAUAGGCUCUCAGGCGAUCGUUUCACGAAAUCUUUUGGGUGGAAGAAUGAAUAACGAUUUCACUAUUCAAAAUGAAAACUUUUUUCAUUUUUAACCCAUCGGUUACCAUAACCAACGCUGCCUAUUAACCCACGU